CUCUUUUCCACUUUUUUCCUUCCUUUCUCUCUAUUCUCUCGGCUCUCCCCCUCCGAAACUCUCCCUCAACUUCUCUCCUCGAUUUCAUCUACUUAGGGCGUGAUUUCGAACAAAGUCCAAGAAUUAAAGUUGUUAUACAGAGAGCGGGCUUCCUAUCCAUCCAAGAAAAAUUACGAUCGGGCCUCGUGGGAGCUCGGUUGGCUCGGUCAAAAGGUCGGAUUUUGCUCAAAACUCACGAGGUGUGAGAUUGAUUAUAGAUGGAUUGUGCAUAAUGAAGGAUGUUUAUGGACCUAUGAUUUGAGUGUUAUGGCUACGUGUGAUAUCGAACUUUGUAUGUAUCGUGGUGUGGCAUGUCAUAGCAUAUGGACAAUGGAUGGAGUCGUAUCCAACUUCGGAUGUCGACGAAGGUUACGGGGCCUAACACCGCCUGGAAUUCAUGUCAAUAUGGACGGAGCCUGGUUCACCUUCUUGGUGGGACCUUGGCGAGGGUUACGGGGCCCAAUAUUGCCCGGUGCAUUGCUUUGCAUCACAUAUCACGCAUUGUUGAUUGGUUGAGCUAGACUUAUGACCUGUGUUGCUUGAGAACUGAAAACAGAGAUAAAGUUGUUAAUCUAAUGUUUGGCUUGUCAUUCGACUUUGAACUAUAUCUUGGAUUACUAUCCUUCCUCAUUGAGCCUCUUGUUCGGUAAUUGAAUAUAACAUGUUUUCAUGUAUUUCAUUUCAAGAUUUCUCUACGAGCUAGUGAGCUCACCCUAUCUUAACAUUUUUGGGUACAAAUCAAGAAAACUAGUUCUUGUUGCAUGGAGUGGCUAAUACUUGAGAAAUAAAAAAUAAAUCAAUUAUGUUCAAAAAGGGAAAUCCAAUGAUAUGUUCGUGUUGUUCUGCCGAUAGAUAUACUCAUUGUUAUUAGCAUCUUGGAGUUUGUUGUACAUAUAUAAUGUUGCUCACAUACCACUGUUGGUGCAUGAUCAUCACAUAUUUGUAUAGAUCGAGGCAGAAUGGAGUAAUUGCGUAACGAUGGACAAAUGACAGUUGAGGACAAGUUGUGGUCUAAUUGGAAUAAUUCCAAUCGAUUUUUGCUUCUAGUUUGAUGUGUGAGCUAUUAGGGUUAUUUUUAUGAAAUCAUGAUUCCCUGGUUGUAGUAUGCUCGUUCGUGAUGGAAGACCCAUAUUUCUUUGUAGAUCUCGUCGUAUUCACUCACUCUAGGUGCAUGAUUCAUCACAUUUUCAUAUAGCUUGUAUAUAGAUUUCCCUGCUGGGCUAGUGUAGCUCACCCUAUCAUUUUCAGGUAUGAUUCAAGAAUGUUGGCAUGGAGUGCUUGUUGUGCAUUUGUGACCAAACCUUUAAAAGGUAUUCAAGAAGGAUUUCAUAGCACAAGAUCUGAAAUAGCACUUUUAGGAAAGAUAUUAUUUGUAAAUUGUAAUAUUAUUUCCGUAAGAUACUGGUAUUUUGAUGACUUGGGGCCUUCGAGUUGGAAAUGUAAUAUUUGAAUUUUAUUUGAGAAUAAUGAACAGAAAGGUCUUUUGGGGUAUUAUUUAUAUUACAGUGAGGACUUUAUUUAUUAAAA